UCCACUGUUGCGUUUUUCAUACGUACGUAUACGCACGUAAAACUUUAAAUCCGUUUGAAUGUUACUUAUGAAAUAACCAAAUAAAUAAAGCAACAGAAUUUAGUGUUCCGCAAGUUUUAGUAUACAUUUGUUAACUUGUUUGUAAAAUAUUUAAAAAUAGAAGGAUUCAAAGUUUUACGUGCGUGUACGUGCGUACGAAAAACGCAACAGUGGA
rnacentral:miRNA from 1 species